UACAGAGGGUGCAAGCGUUAAUCGGAAUUACUGGGCGUAAAGCGCACGUAGGUGGCUGGGUAAGUUGGAUGUGAAAUCCCCGGGCUUAACUUGGGAAUUGCAUUCAAGACUGCCUUGCUAGAGUGUGGAAGAGGGAAGCGGAAUUCCAGGUGUAGCGGUGAAAUGCGUAGAUAUCUGGAGGAACAUAAGUGGCGAAGGCGGCUUCCUGGUCCAACACUGACACUGAGGUGCGAAAGCGUGGGGAG
rnacentral:rRNA from 1 species